UGGGGAAUAUUGCACAAUGGGCGCAAGCCUGAUGCAGCCAUGCCGCGUGUAUGAAGAAGGCCUUCGGGUUGUAAAGUACUUUCAGCGGGGAGGAAGGCGAUACGGUUAAUAACCUUGUCGAUUGACGUUACCCGCAGAAGAAGCACCGGCUAACUCCGUGCCAGCAGCCGCGGAAAUACGGAGGGUGCAAGCGUUAAUCGGAAUUACUGGGCGUAAAGCGCACGCAGGCGGUCUGUCAAGUCGGAUGUGAAAUCCCCGGGCUCAACCUGGGAACUGCAUUCGAAACUGGCAGGCUAGAGUCUUGUAGAGGGGGGUAGAAUUCCAGGUGUAGCGGUGAAAUGCGUAGAGAUCUGGAGGAAUACCGGUGGCGAAGGCGGCCCCCUGGACAAAGACUGACGCUCAGGUGCGAAAGCGUGGGGAGCAAACA
rnacentral:rRNA from 1 species